CAGCCGCCGCGGGAAUACGUAGGUCCCGAGCGUUGUCCGGAUUUAUUGGGCGUAAAGCGAGCGCAGGCGGUUAGAUAAGUCUGAAGUUAAAGGCUGUGGCUCAACCAUAGUUCGCUUUGGAAACUGUCAAACUUGAGUGCAGAAGGGGAGAGUGGAAUUCCAUGUGUAGCGGUGAAACGCGUAGAUAUAUGGAGGAACACCGGUGGCGGAAGCGGCUCUCUGGUCUGUAACUGACGCUGAGGCUCGAAAGCGUGGGGAGCGAACAGGAUUAGAUACCCGUGUAGUCCCUGUCUCUUAUACA
rnacentral:rRNA from 1 species